UACAGAGACUGCAAGCGUUAUUCGGAUUCACUGGGCGUAAAGGGUGCGCAGGCGGCCGUGUGUGUGAGGCGUGAAAGCCUGGGGCUUAACUCCAGAAUUGCACCUCAAACUACAUGGCUAGAGCAUUGGAGAGGGUAGCGGAAUUCACGGUGUAGCAGUGAAAUGCGUAGAUAUCGGGAGGAACACCAGAGGCGAAGGCGGCUACCUGGACAAUUGCUGACGCUCAGGCACGAAAGCGUGGGGAGCAAAAGGG
rnacentral:rRNA from 1 species